UACAGAGGUCUCAAGCGUUGUUCGGAUUCAUUGGGCGUAAAGGGUGCGUAGGCGGCUUGUCGCGUCGGCUGUGAAAACCUGGGGCUCAACCCCGGGCCUGCAGCCGAUACGGGCAAGCUAGAAUUCAGUAGGGGAGACUGGAAUUCCUGGUGUAGCGGUGAAAUGCGCAGAUAUCAGGAGGAACACCGGUGGCGAAGGCGGGUCUCUGGGCCGAAAUUGACGCUGAGGAGCGAAAGCGUGGGGAGCAAACAGG
rnacentral:rRNA from 1 species